rnacentral:rRNA from 1 species
CAUAUCAAUAAGCGGAGGAAAAGAAACCAACAGGGAUUGCCUCAGUAACGGCGAGUGAAGCGGCAAAAGCUCAGAUUUGAAAUCUCUUUUUCGUUAAAGAAGAAGCGAGUUGUAAUCUGUAGAAGGUUGAAUGGUCGAAAUAUCCGAUUUAAGUUCCAUGGAAUAGGACAUCAUAGAGGGUGAGAAUCCCGUGAUUAUCGGAAACUAGACCAAUCGAUUCACCUUUCGACGAGUCGAGUUGUUUGGGAAUGCAGCUCUAAUUUGGUGGUAAAUUUCAUCUAAAGCUAAAUACCUGCCAGAGACCGAUAGCGAACAAGUAGAGUGAUCGAAAGAUGAAAAGCACUUUGAAAAGAGAGUUAAAUAGUACGUGAAAUUGUUGAAAGGGAAGCGCUUGCCAUUAGACUUGAUGAUCGGGAUUCAAUUUACUCAUGGGUGAAUCUACUUUCCGAUCCAUCAGGCCAGCAUCAGUUCGGAGAGGUUUAAAAAUGUUUUGGAAAUGUAGUUAUCGUCUCGGCGGUAAUGUUAUAGUCCAUUAUACCAUAAAUCUAUUCCGGACUGAGGUCUGCCUUUAUUGUUGGAUGCUGGCAUAAUGAUUGUAAGCGACCCGU